ensembl:lncRNA
CACAUAAAUAAACCCUAGACCGCAAUCAUUUGCAAGAUUGGAGACACGUGUUUAAUUCAUGACAAAUCACUUCCAACCAUCUCUGGAGUUGAAGGGGAAGUCAAACCCACACACAUAAGCUAGACGAGUACAGGCAGUUCUUCAAAGGAGACUUAGAACUGUUUUUACUAGAAACGAGUGACAGAAUGAUUAGGGGAAAACAACAGAUGCUUCCACGCCUUUCUCCCAGCUUUCUUCUCCUCAUUAAUCAUCUUCCCACGUGAUUUGUCAGUGACUCACACUGAAGUUGCUGACCUUUUAGCAGAGCUCAUAGAGAGAUCAUCUGACCCUGCCCACCUGUGAAUAGAAGAGAUUAACACACCCUUUCCGAAGACUGGCCCUUCCGGGAGAUGUUUUGCAGGACUGAAGACCCUUUCACUUUACUUCCCCUUUACCUCUCCCUCUCUGUUCUGCCUUUUGACUUCAGUUUCUCGUUGGCUCUCUCUGGCUC